rnacentral:tmRNA from 1 species
GGGGGUGCCCUGGCUUCGACGGGAGGUUCCGUAGGUUGUACUGCAGGUGGAGCGCCAACUCCUUAAACUAGCGCACAACUUCAAGUGCCAGAAAAGAAGAAGAUGAGAUUGUCGUCGAAUUCGACGGUGCUCUCGCUUUGGCCGCUUAAUAACAGUGGCCGCGAGGCUUCGUUACGCAGUUCCGAGGAACGGAUGCCUUGUUACAAACCGGAACUUUACCUUGCGGCGGCCUGAAGCCGUAUAGGGACAAUUUUUCAGGAUACGGUUCGGUUGGCUGUUUACCUCCUACCCGAACUCGACAACCUGCUGGUAGACUAAACCUGUAGACGUAUGGCAUACGCCCUACCGGACGGGGGUUCGAUUCCCCCCACCUCCACUG